AAUACCGCAUAAUAUCUGAGGAAGAAAGUGGGGGAUCGAAAGACCUCAUGCUUUUGGAGCGGCCGAUGUCUGAUUAGCUAGUUGGUAAGGUAAUGGCUUACCAAGGCAACGAUCAGUAGUUGGUCUGAGAGGACGGCCAGCCACACUGGGACUGAGACACGGCCCAGACUCCUACGGGAGGCAGCAGUGGGGAAUUUUGGACAAUGGGCGAAAGCCUGAUCCAGCAAUGCCGCGUGAGUGAAGAAGGCCUUCGGGUUGUAAAGCUCUUUCAGUUGAGAAGAAAAGAUUCCGGUUAAUAACUAGAAUUCAUGACGGUUCAACA
rnacentral:rRNA from 1 species